GCCUGGUGUAGUGACCCACACCUGCAUUCCCAGAUACUGGGGAGGCUGAUGCGGGAGGAUCACUUGAGCCCAGGGGUUCUGGGCUGCAGAAUACUAUGCUGAUCAGGUGCCCACACUAAGCUUGGCAUCAAUAUGGGGACCUCCUGGGGAGCGGGGGACAACUGGGUUGCCUGAGGAGGGGUGAACCAGCCAGGCCGGAGAUGGGUCAGGUCAAAACUCCUGUGCUGCUCAGUAGAGGGACUGCACUUGUGAAUAGCCACUGCCCUCCAGCCUGGGAAACAUAGCCAGACCCUGUCUCUU
rnacentral:SRP_RNA from 1 species